AUCAGUCUAUGGAGGAGUUGUAAACAUUCUCUAAUAUUAACAAGUCACAGCUGUACAUAUGACACUUAUCCCAUUACAAAAUGCACAUGCCAUUCGAGAAGCUCACUAAACUCUUUGAGGGUGAAAGCCAAAGCAAGAUUAAUGUUUUCCCUUUUUCAGGAGAUUAAAUAGAUGUGAAGAGUUUAGUGACUAAUGUUCUGGGAUCAAAUAAGUUCUAAUUACCAAAUCCAAGUUCUCUUUAUCCUAAUGCAUUUUCUGAGAACACUUCUUUGAGAGGAAUUUAGUUGUGUUAAGCAAAACUCAGCUUGCUUAGCUGUCACACAAAGAAGAGCCAUGUCAUGCAGACACAAGCUUCAUAUGCCACUUUCUCAUCAUUGAGACCAUCUUGGUCAACCAUGAGCAAAGGUAAAAUGAGCAAGAAGUUUGUCCUUCAGAAUCCUAUCAUCUCCUUCAUUCUUUCCCUGCAUCUGGCCUCCCCUUCUCUCCUUCAGACACCCUUUGGCCUCCCUCUUGCUUCACCCUUCUCUGCCUAUCCAAAAAGAAAAAAGCAUUUCAAAGAUCAACAUGUGAUCCUUCUGACUGCAUAAGGGCAUAAAGGAGCAGUCUGUGAGGGCAACCGCUGAGUGUCCUGUGGAGAUAGAUCUCUUUUUCUCUUUGGAGGAAUUGCUGCAUAUAAUCCAUGUCUGCCUAUGUCAAGAGGUAGGUUGAAGGAGCAAAAUCAUGAGGUCAAGGAUGUUUCUGACAUCCAGGAAAAAAUUACAAGCUCCAUAUAUUAUUUCUGCCAUUAAAACACUCAUCCAUUCACAUACUCAUUAACUCAACAUUUAUUAAUGCAAUAAUUUAUUGAAUACUUUGCAUCUGUUGUUUGUUUAGAGAUACAGUAGUACUCUCCCUGGCUGUUAGGCAAGACAGAGAUAUAAAUGAAUAAUUGCAGCACAGAGUAAAAAAAAAGAGGUGCAGUGUUUGUAAGUUCAAUGUACAAUAGUGGCACAAAGGAGGAAGUUACCAACUUGUGAGAUGGAGGUCAGCAAAGGCCUCUCAGGAAGAAGAUAUUUCAGCUAAAGUCGUAAAGAGGAAUAAAACUUAGCCUGCCAAACAUCCCAGGCAGAGAAAACAGCACUUGUAAAGGCAUGAAGGCCUGAAACAGAUGGGCAUAUUCAGGAGACUAUAAGUAGCCCAGUAAUGGAAAGAAGGCAUAUUGAUGGGAGAGACUGACAGUUAUCAGGAUCAUGGAGAGAUGUGUAUGCCAGGGAGGGUGUUCUUACUUUUUAUCUGACCAGCAUCUCUUUGCCCUUCAAGUGCUAACAGCAGCCUGACUUUACUGGAGAACCACAUUUCUGUACUCCUUGUGAUCUUGAUUGGGCCAUCGCCUAGAGACAGACAGUGGCUCAAGCUACCUGGCCUAGUGUUCAGUCUUUCUUGGCGACCAUGAUGAGUUCAAGGCACAUGACCCACUCCAACGUGUCCUGGAAUCCUGGAUACAUUCUCUCUGCACUCUGCGUUUGGAGCCUCCACUCUGAAACACAGACUUACCCCACCUCACAGGCCUAAGAAGGUAAACCCUGCUCCCUCCUGUAUGGCGGCGUGUGGCAGGACUGUGAACACGCUGCUGUGCUGUGAAGCUGCUGCGGAGUGUACACCGGGGCUGCCAACCUGCCUGAGCUCAAAUGAGCACCGGUGAUCCAAGACACAUUCCAUGACACCACGAGAGCAGCUCGUAUUUGUUUUCUCUUUCCUCGUGGCUUCCUUUUCAGUAAGAUACUAGUACAAGUCAGACCACCCUACAACAAGAAAAUCUCCAGGGCCUCAUAUAGUUUGUUUUUAAAUGGUAUCAGAUCAGACCAAAGUCCAAUAAAAACACCUAGAAUUGGACAGUACCUUGAAAUGCACUCUCAUCAACAUGACGUGUGAAAACAGCUUAGUGAUUAACUUCUUGAAGUGGGUGUCAAGAUACUGUUAUUUUAUUUCUACUUCUAAUUCUGAGACUGCAUUGUCUGGAGAAAUUUAGGCAAAUUACUUCCUUCUUGGAUGUGGAUUUUCCCCAAGAUAAUCUCUGAAAAAAAAAAUUCAUUCUUACUCUACCAUCAGAGAAUGUCUAAGAGCCCUCUCAGAGCUCCCCCAGAACCGUAGGUGAAUGCAAAGAAAGAAAAACCCAUCCUGGUUUGGUAACUUCUCAAACCUGUCUUUCUGCGUUUGCAUAAUAAACUAAUUAACUAAUAUGCUGGAUGACUUCCUGGUGUCAAAAACAAAAACAAAAAAAUUCAGAAAGGGGAUCAUGUUGUAUGAGGAAAGACAUUGUUUAAUAAGGAUUCACUUGCAAGGUAGAAUAACUUUAGGUAGGAAUUAUUCUGUCAGUAUUUUCCAUGACCUGAGUUAAAAUUGCAAAAUGCAAAUCUCAGAUUAUCCUGAGAACCCUAACCCUCCACAAGGAUGUCAGUGAUUUUACAAGUUUCAUUUACUUCCUCUUGAAUCUUUGAUUAAUCAGAAUAACACAAAUUUGUCCAAUAUCAGAAGUCCCUGAGAAUUCCAAUACAAAUGUUUCUUUGUUUAUUAUAUAUUUGAUAUUAAGCAUUGUGUAAACUUAAGGUAUACAACAUGUUAAUUUGGUAUGCUUAUCGUAAUAUAAUUGGCAUUGUGGUAAUAAUUACCACAUUACAUAAUGUUUUCUUUUUAGUGGUUGGAAUAAUUAAGUUCUAGUCUCUUAGGAGGUUUGAUGAUUAUAAUAAAAUAUUGUUGUCUGUCCUCACUAUAUUAGAAUUAGAUCUCCAGGACUUAUUUACUACUCAAUCCAAGUUUGUACCCUUAAAUGCAUCUGUCCUAAUACAAAUAUUUUUUAAGGUAUUCUUCACCACAGAUGAGAUACUAAGUUUUCUUAAUGAGGGGACAAUUAUAAUAGCAAAUGACAUCCUAGCCUAUGUCUUUAUAGUUUAUAAAUAAGUAAUUUUAUAUACAUUACCCCAUUUGAUCCUCAAAACAGUAUGAAGUAGUUAUGACAGAUACAAUUAUCCCAAUUUUUAUACAGGAGAGGACAGAAAGAAGAGGAAUUGGUACAGAUACAGAGAAUGGAUGGCCACUCAUUUAUCUAUAUAUUCAUUCAACAAUCAUUCAUGAAUAAUCACAUGUGCCAAGAUCUGGGAGGAUACAGCAAUAAGCCAAAUCUUUACAAAACCCAUAGCUUAAUGGAAGUGACUUGACAGUUACAGAGAUAAUAACAAUAAAAUAAGACAAAUGUUAUGAUGUGGAUCUCUGAGAUCAAAGAGCAGGACGCUCUGUGUUCAAGUUUGCAGAAGUUUCCUUAAGGAACUUAUAUUUCAGCUGAAAUGCAGGGAUGAGUAAGGAGGAAGCCAGAAAAAGCAGAAGUGGAGACAAGUGAUCCUCUGGGAAGGAACAUUGUGCCCCAAGGAUGAGAGCUGAGGAAGGACAAAUAAUACUUAUCAAGAAACCAAAAGAAUUUUGCAUUCUGAGUAUAAAAUGCAAGAUGGAAAAAGCAAGAGAUGAGGCUAGAGAGUUAGGCAAAGGACCAAAGUCACAUAAGACCUUGUAAUUUAUCUGAAGGGCAAUGACAAGACAAAAAUUAGGACAGCAUAAAAAACUAUGAUAGUAAAAUAUUUUGGAAGUCAAGAAUCAGGGAGAGUUGCAGCAAUAUAGUCAAUCACAUUAAUCAUACAAAGAAGUCAAAGAAUCAGAGGGCUGAGAGUAAGUCAUUUGGGAUGUCAUAGAUAACCUUAAUAUUUUUAGUUUGUUGGUAGAGAUGGAACACAAGCUCCAUGUAUGAUUGAAAGACAAGGAAGUAGAGGCAAAGGGUGCGUAGACUAUGGUUUAAAAAGUUCCAUCCUCCUAUUGGUAGAGCUGAUAGCAGAGUCAAAGAAAGCUUUUUCAAGAUAAAAAAUUUAAAUGUGCUUGAAGGCAAGAGGGUAAGGUUGAGUAUAAAGGUAGAAAUUAAAAUGUCAUGAAGUCACUUAAGUUUAUGGAAGUGGUAGUGUAUGGUUACUAUAAUUAUAGUUACUAUAGCAUUGUUACUAUAGUCAGUAAUACUGUAUUGCACAUUUGAAAGUUGCUUAAGAGAGUAGAUCUUAGAAGUUAUCAUCAUAAAAAAAUUAGACUAUGAAUGGUGACAGGUGUUAACUAGACAUGCAGUGACCAUUUUGCAAUAUAUACAAAUAUUGAAUCAUUAUGUUGUACACUGGAAACUAAGACAGUGUUACAUGUCAAUUACUAUCUAAAUUAAAAGAUUAAGGAAAUGGGAUACAUGGUUAGAAUUACAAUGAAAUGGUUAGGUGAGCAAAGCGGCUCAGUAAAAGAUCUGUAUGUACAUUUUUAAAGCCCUAGUACUAAAGCCAAUCCCCGAUUGCCCUCCCCCUGGCUACUUAAUCUAUAAUAACACUCCCAGAAAGUUUUGUCUUUGGAUCAUUGUUCUGUCUGUGGUGGGACACUUUCAUGUUGGACUGAAGUCUUUAUCUCUGAGAUGAUGUUAAAAUCAUAUUAAGUAUUGUUCAGUCACAUAUCCUUGGAAUAUGGAAAGACAGUAUAGAAAAUAAAUCCUGGCAAAAGAAUAUGCUCUCCUUGAUUCCCGUGAAAAGGGGAAGUGCUUCUGUGCCGUAAAUGGGUGUGGGAACAUCUUCAGAAUUUCAGGUGGAUUGAGUCAGGCUGUUUUCUUUCAUCACUGCAGCAGCCAAAAUGGAAAGUUCUCAGAUCCUCAUCUUCCACUAGGACAUGAUCAAUCGUUGAUCAAAAAGUAGAGAUUUUUCACAGGCCUCAGCAAGGAAAGUAAGCCACCUAAUACUUCUUCCCAAUGUCACCCACACAACAACAAUAAAUGCCAAAAUUGGAGCAUUUCUUAGACAUUUCAGUGGAUUAUGGAGUCAGAUACCCGGUAUGUCCCACUCAAAGUAUUUGAGGACCUCCUACAUCCAUAGGUGCAGAUUCUUCUCAUUCUGACAUGGAAAAGUUGAGAACAAACUUAUGUCAUAUGCAGGCCACAGAUAAAGGAUAUUAGAAAGAAAAGUGAUAUGUGUGCAGAUGCUACAAAGCCGGGUACAGAACUCACCCAGAAGACUCACACAGUAUUCUCUGUGUUCUCAGUGUAAGUACGGGGCCAAGACCAACAGUGUAAAUUUAACUGGCACAAAAAUUAAUUUCUACAUCUAGGAUAAAUGCCACGGUGCUCAUGAACAAAGUAGAAGCAACCUGAAAAAAAGAUCUGAGUGUUUUAGUGGACCACAAGUUUAAGAUGAGCCAGCAUAACUAUUAACAGCAUUUAAUGGCACGUGAGGCAUACUAACGAAGAACAGUGCUUUCCUUAGGAGAGCAUAUUAUCUCCCUAAACCCUGUACAGGUCAGCCCCAUUCUGAAAGGCUUUAUUCCAGCUUAAGUAUAGCAAUGAUUGGACUGUGAACAGGGGCAGAGCAGCCACAAUCACACUUCCAUACCAAUUUACAAUAUGUAAGACUUUGACACACUCUCUGAUAUUCAUUUUCAUCCCUAUAAUCCUACGAAAUAAAUGUUAUUAUAUUCAUUUUAUAGAUGGCCAUGCUGAAAUUGAGAGGCACUAAGUGCCUUGACCAAGGUAGCAUGGUUAAUAAAUCGUAGAGCCAAGUCAUUGAUUCCUAGACCUCCAUUUUCUCCUUCGUAACAACUGUGGUCUUUGGCCUAGGGAGAGCAGACGUAGGGGUUCAUGCUAACACUCUUCAAGCAUUGGAAGGACCAUUAUGUGAGGAAGGAAGUAGACUUACUCUUGAGUGAGACAGCAGAUGGACGUUAAGAGAACUGGAAAACAGCCAAGACUGGCUGACUGUCAUUGAAAGAGUAGAAAGCUGAAGAUGGAGAAUGUAAGACAAAGCUAAUAUAAUUAAAAGGGGUCAUUAGACUAAACUGUGUCCCUAAUAAAUCUUGGAGUUUUUUUAAAGCUUCAGAGAAAAUUCCUGAACAAGAACUUGUGCAAAUUUUCCCUUUACUCUCAUUUUUCCUAUAAACCUCUUUUUUUUUAAAUUUUGAAAGCAGAAGUGGAAAAAUUAGAAGAUAUAUUAACAGUGACCAUGGAAAAGGAACCUCUGAUAGUGCCAUCUGGCCAAAACUUAAAGAUUAUAUCAGCAAAACCUUUUAUGGAACAUACCAGUUAUUCCCCAAUCCAUGGGAAGAAGAUGGGGAAUAAAAAAUAAUAAAAGCCCGAUCUUUCUUCAAGACAGAGUUUGAAUCUAGCAGUGCUAGAUCCUUCCACACUCUUAAAAUUCAUUCUGAUCUUCAAAAUAUAUAAAAUACCCAGUCAGUGUUUUCCCUGUCUAUCUAAUCCCAGUAAAGCAGGAUGUCAAAACAUAGUAGAGAAGGCACUAUACUAGCAGUCAGAAAAUUUGCUUCUAAUCCCAGCUCUGCUAGGUCCUUCCUGACUGGCCUCAUGCAGGCUGGCACACAGGUUUAUUCUAGGCAAUGGGGCUUUCGGGCUUGUGGUCCCUCAUACGGAAAUUAUGAGCAUACACUGUAACACUGAUUAAGAGCACAUGCUUUAGCAACAGACAUGCCUGGGGUUAAGCAGCUCCCUGCCACUUGGAAUGUGUCUCAUCUUGAGCACUUUCCUCUAAGUUCAGUUCCUUCAGAUGUUAGUUAAAUGAAGAAUAUGAAAAUGCAUAUGAGAGUGUCAUGUAAAUUACUCACUGGCCUUAAUCCAGUGUUUUGGAGAAAGCAGAUAUCGAAAACUUCCAAACGUAAAAAGAACUCGGUGAAUUGCAAUUGAAAGAGGGACAGUGAGCAUAUCAAGAAAAAUGGGAAACUAUCAAAAGGAAAUCCCAGUGACUGAAAUGGAACACAUUUCAUCCAGAUGAGAAAGUGAAGGCAUAUAGAAGGAUAUAUGCAAACAGCUUUUCUGAUGGGCUCAGACCCAAGAGUGUAUCAAUACAAGAUGAGAGAUGGGGGCACAUAAACAAGACAAUUUCAAGACAGUGGCACAACCUACCAGAAUAGAGCCAAAAAAACUAUAGCCUGGAAUGAACUAAGUUUCCUCAUCCAUGAAAUAGGAGAAUAAGAGGAUCUGUGCACAGAAGUUACAGUGAGCAUUAUGUGGAAUGUGCUUAGAAGAGUACCCAGCACAAGAAGAUGGAGGAGGGUUAUCAGGUGAGAGUGAGAACAGGGAAGAGACACUGAAUGUUUAAAGUCAAAGGUAUGAAAGAGUCCAAGAGAGGAGAGCAAAUGAACUGUGCAAAUGUAGAUUGUUUACAAAGCACCACUGAAGUCCCACUUGAAGUUAGUGGCCAUGAAUUUAAAGUGAGACCUUUCAACAAGGUCUUGUGUUUUUCCUCAGCUACAGUCAACUGUGAAAGAUACAGGGGAACUGGAUUUCAUCAGUGUGGGGUACUUUCCAGGACUGAGGUUUCAAUAAUAGAAUAUCAUGAAGAGAGGGAGAAGCAAGUGGUUGGACUAAUGCAAGGUAAAAGUUGAUUAUUAAUCAUGGAAUUUAAGUUGUGUGAGGAAGAAAAGAAAGGCAUGAAUGGAAUGAAAAAUAAUACCAUCUUAAUUUAAAAAAAAAACAUUUUGUACCAUUGAAUGAUGGAUUGAAAAUUGAGUGUCAUACUAUGGUAGUAAAGAUGCAUUCUCCCAUUUUAAUCUAUAUUUCUUUGUGAAGCAGUUUUUCAGUUAUGACAGUCAAAACCAUGAAGAAAGGUAAAUUAAUUUAGAUGUAAUCUUCAAAUCACUAACUUCAAAUGUAACCUUCAAAGUGUUAAACUAAGAUUAAUAAGAGAAACAUACUCAUCAAAUUACUCUAUUAAAUAUUUCAAUUAUUUUAGAAGUGUUUACAUUGUAUAUAUUGUUUAUAUUAUAUAUUACAUAAAAUACAAUAUUUUGGUAAAAGCAAAAUGGUUUUGCACUGUGAAUAAACUACGUGAAGCAUA